rnacentral:rRNA from 1 species
UACGUAGGGGGCGAGCGUUGUCCGGAGUACUGGGCGUAAAGCGCACGGCAGGCGGUCUGUUAAGUUUGGAGUGACAAGUUUGGUGGCUUAACUGCCAAAGUGCUUCGAAAACUGACAGACUUGAGGGCUUCAGAGGGACACGGAAUUCCGGGUGGAGUGGUGAAAUGCGUAGAGAAUCCGGAGGAACACCAAAGGCGAAGGCAGUGUCCUGGGGAGU